AUUGAACGCUGGCGGCAUGCUUUACACAUGCAAGUCGAACGGCAGCGCGGGCUUCGGCCUGGCGGCGAGUGGCGAACGGGCGAGUAAUGCAUCGGAACGUGCCCAGUAGUGGGGGAUAGCCCGGCGAAAGCCGGAUUAAUACCGCAUACGACCUGAGGGUGAAAGCGGGGGACCGAAAGGCCUCGCGCUAUUGCAGCGGCCGAUGUCGGAUUAGCUAGUUGGUGGGGUAAAGGCUUACCAAGGCGACGAUCCGUAGCUGGUCUGAGAGGACGACCAGCCACACUGGGACUGAGACACGGCCCAGACUCCUACGGGAGGCAGCAGUGGGGAAUUUUGGACAAUGGGGGCAAGCCUGAUCCAGCCAUGCCGCGUGCGGGAAGAAGGCUUUCGGGUUGUAAACCGCUUUUGUUCGGGAAGAAAUCCUCUGGGCUAAUACCCCGGGGGGAUGACGGUACCGGAAGAAUAAGCACCGGCUAACUACGUG
rnacentral:rRNA from 1 species